AACUAGACAAGUAGACAUCAUGGCGACGAAGGACGAAUGAAUUAUGUAGAAUUUGUGCAGCUCUUUUUGUUUUGCGUUGAUUUUCUAUUCAUUUCAUUUUAGCCGCCAUGUCGUGAUAUUUUUUUCAUUUUCGGUUAGAGUACUGCGAAUUUUAUUAGUUGUCGAUCUAUUUAAUUAUUCUGAAUCACGCGAACUUGUAUUUUUUUUCAUCGUAGAAAUGUAUGCGGCGGUUCGGCCACAUGAGUUGCUAUUCGGCUGAGCAUCAGCUUUCCAGUGAUACCAAAAUCAAAAAAUCGAAAAUUUUGGACAUACUCGGAUUUGGCAUUAAGAUACGAAAGUUUUUUGACAUUGAUGAGUAAUUGGCGCCGUUGAUCGUUUUUAUAUCGAUUUAGAAUACGAACGAACACAAUUAAAAUCUCAGCAGUAUGCGAUUCAUCAAAUCGAUUUACUUCAUCUGGAUAAUAACUUAUGUAUUUCUAAGAUGAUCUUGUGAAGAAUGAAAAUUGAUAUUGGUACUUCCAAAUGAUGCUACGAUCGCUGUAAAAUCGCAAUGAGCUUCAGAGUUCUGUGAUUGUUGUUGAAUACGAAUCAAGCUUCGUGAUGAUGCAGAAUCUGACAUUUAUCAGUGAUUCAGAUUCCCAAUUUUUUCGUUGAUUUUCGAAGAAACACGUUGAAGAUCCGGUCGAAGGUGAUGAUUUGAUGGAUAUUCUUGAUUACGUAUCGUAGCUGUGCUGUAUUAAUUAAAUAGAAUGAUGCUGACUUUUUUGGUGUCAAUUUACGAAGAAACAUGAUAACGAUUCCGUUUCUGGUUGAAGAUACUUAUAUGAACUAUGAACAAUCUUGACUAACAUUGCUGAGCUGCAUAGAUCGAAUGCGUACGCGAGAUAUUUCCCCUCCCUGGCCGAAGAUGAAUUCGACGCGAUUUUUGGAAUUUCUGCUAGGAUUGGAUUGGAUUGGGUAUUGUCUUGGCAGUUAUAGGCGAAUUAGUGGUCGUCAUUGUCCGUCGGUGAUGGCCACUAAUUGAAGUGCCUCCGCAUGAUUGUGGAUGACGGAUAUGAGCCGGAUGAUUGGUCAACGUGGCGACUUACUCAGAUGGACUUCCUGACACAAAUUGUGCUUCCGUGCUGGUGGAUGCUGAUUUCAUUGUGUAUCCGAGCCGUGGCGAGAUCACUAAAGGUAUUCCACCUGGCCAUUCUCCUAUCCUGUCAGCUUGGGUAUGGUUGGAGAGAAAGUCUGCUAUAUGGCCUGUGUUAGUUGGGGUUGAAAUUCAAGUGUUUUUUCUGUUGUAAACUUCUAAAUUUUGUCUUGCUUUUUUAUUUUUUAUUUAUUUAUUUAUUUUUUUCAAUUCAAUCAUUAUUUUUGGCUUCAUAUUUUCUUACAUUCUUCUCCCGUCUCUAUAAAAGGUGUAAACAAUUUUUACGGGUUGGUUUCAAUAUGUAUAAGGCAAGUAUGGCGUGCGAGUUUUCUAUGUACCUAAAUUUCAUUUUUUCCAUUUUUUUAUUUAUUUAUUUUUUUUCAUCAAAGUUGUCCCUGUGCAUAACUUAUGUCCAACUUUACCAGAUCGUCUCAGUGGCCCAAGGGAAUUGUUGCCGGCGGGCCUGUGGAGUACUGGUAAUGCAAAAUUACAUUUUUUUUCUGCACAUUCUCUUGAUUUUCGCGAAAAGAUCGCAACUUUCGAGUGGAGGAGUUGCGCAACCGGCUCAUGUCUUGGACGUUACGGCGUAGCCUCCGCGUGUCCCAUGAGAUCCCACUCCCUCAGCAGCAACAGUCUGGAUAAGCCAACUUUACCGCUUCGCAAUGCCAUUAAUCGGGUUGGCGGUACUGCAAAAAGCUGCACUUUAGGUUUUUGGACCGCGCGUAAAGAUCGCUACGCUCGAGGGAAGACGUAGCGCAGGUUCUCCUGGACGUACCCGGUAUCGAUACUGGCGCGGGUUCCUUGAGAAAUCCUCUUCCCUCAACCCAUUCUCAGUCCUUUGGGUGGGGUAUUCUUGUUCAUGAUGAUGCGUGAAGGAGUAAAGUAGGACGGACUUACUUUGCCAAGAUGGAGAGAAUGUGUCUUCUAAUUGAAUGCAACGAUAAAAUGAACAUGUGAAUGAUGCUCGUCGAAGGAUUUCACAAAGUAAUUGUCGAAGAUGGAAGCAGUUUUCUCUGAACAUGUGACAAGAAAUAAUGCUGGCAAUAAUUGCAAAGGAAAUGAAAAAAUGAAUAGAUUUGUAAAAGAUGCUCGUCAAAGGAUUUUACAACAUAGUUGUCAAAGAUGGAAUCAGUUUCCUAAUUGCUGAACAUGUUACGAGAAAAAAUGCCGGUGAUUAUUAUACAAAGAAAACGAAAAAUCGAGUACGAAAUGAAAUGAAGUAAAUGCUCAGCUCAUCGAAUGAUUUUAUAAUUCUGGAAAAUGUGAACAAUUUAUACUUGAUUUUGUAAUGUGUCAUCGAUUGAAACACCGGUACCUAGAUUGAUUACGCAGCUGAGAACGAAUACGAGAAAUGCAAACGGAAUAAUUUGUAUCGGAUUUUAUGUAACUCGAGAACGAAAAGAAAUACCAGUAGAAUUGUUCCAGACUGUGACCAGAUGAAUGGAAAAUCUCUCGAUUUUCCCGAAAGAUUUGUACAGCAUAGAUAUAUUAUUCGUUUUAUUUUAGUGUUUAAUAUGUUUGUAGGUAUACUCUACCUAAUACUUGUAUGUAUCGUAUGUUUUGAUAAUUUUGUGGUAGAAUUUACGCGUUGAUCACCCUUUCCCUUCCCUCUUUUGUUCUCGAUGUGGUCAUUGAAAUUCUUUCCGAAUGUGGCGACGAUGUCAUUUGUUUCGUUUUAAUGUUUUUUUGGAAAUUUUCUUGUUUGCCAUCGCGUUACCGUAGAUUUUAUUUAAUGAAUUGAUAACGAUGACCCCACACCCCUCCCUGCACAAAUUCAAUCUUAAUCGUUUUCUUGAAAUAUCUAAUAAUGGGUUAACGUUUUUUGACUUUUUACCCCCCCCCCCACCCCAACGAAUUGCUUGCUUCGCGUUUGUGACCAGAGUUUUCGCAUUAUCGAGGGUGGGUGGAUAUUUUAUUGCUGCUUUUUUUCUGAUUCGAUUUUACAUAUGAUUCUCCCGCGGAAAUCUGUCUUCGUCGUUCGUUUUUUCUGAUUUUGAACUUUAAGGGUGUUAUUUACGAAAGCAGGGGUUGAAAAAUUUUUGGUGGUUGGUUCUUAGGUGAAGGUUGGUGUUAUGUGGGGUUUUGGCAUUUGGCUAUUCGCGAAUAUAGUGCUAAGUUCUGUCUUGAUGGGAAUGGUAUCUAAAAAACGGAUUAUUUAAAAAAAUCGGGUGAUGGUUAUUUUUUGGUGGUCUCGGGUGGUUGGUUGUUAGGUAGGUGAUGAAGGUGUUUCGCCGGUUACUCGAACUAAUCGCCGUCAUUAAUCUCGUAUUGUGACGUCGAUUAGUUCGGAUGGUCGUCGAGGCAAAUAUAGCCUUCAUUUUAGACGUCGAUGUUGUCAAGUAUUACGUUCGCGUGAUACUUGGCAACAUCGGUAUGACCUGAGGAUUCUGAUAAAGAUGUGGCGCGACUGUCCUCGGAGUCCGAGAAUACGGCAGCAAGUCAGCUUUAGACACGAAUCCGAGGGUGUGGUGGUGGCGCUGUUACCAAUUCGGUCCUUCUGCCAGGUAAUCGGUGGUCAUCACGACGCAGGUGUUCUGCAGUCUUCAUCUCAGCUGAGACAGGCACGCUGAAUGAGACGCUACGACAGAACGUGUCGCGGGGUUGUGAAUUUUUUUGGCUAGUUAGGGUAUCGUACUGGUUGCAGAUCGUAACAAUUUUUUCCAGGUGUGUGAUAGUUGCAUGCAGCGUUGGUGGAGAGUUUAUUUUGUGCGCAGAUAGAGAUGUUUUGAGGAGUGCUGGUGGUGAGUAUUUUAUGUAUAGGGAAUACGGUUGUGGCCGGUCUUGUUAAGUUCUGUCCGUUCUUGCCUGUUAAGCAUCAACCCACAACUGUACUUUUUCCACUCUCACGACAACUUGGCGUCGUGUCCCUUGAAAAUUGUUUACUUUCUGAUAGCAUGGCGCCUACCUUAGCCAUUUGCGUAGUUCUGCACUCGCGAAUCCACGUACGUACUCGCGCGGCGUAUCGUGGAGUCCUCUGUAUUCGGCCGGUACGGAGCUGAUCAGCUGGAUUUCAUGCAGCAUCUACAAAAAGUUAGUCGAAACGCAUCCGCGGUUCACGGGCUCUCGCUCAGGUUCCGCCAUUGUGGUCAUCAAAGCCGUACGGUGUUGGGGGAGCGUCAUCCGGCGACUUGUCUGCUAUCGUGCUUCGGCGCAGCGGCCUGCUCAAUGGUGACGUAGUCCCCUGGCUCACCCCUGCGACGCUCAGUGGGGUCGUCAUUACGGCGGCUUCGACUGUAUAUCCAAGUCAAAAUAAGGGGUUGUCAUAAGAGGUUAUGACUCUUACGGUGGAAACGUUUGCGUUUCAUCUAGUGGUGCGAGCCGUGGCCUAUGACCAGCUCAAUCUGCGAACCUUACUUCCGGGCUGAUAAGAUGUGAGCGGGGAUGGUUAAUAUCAGCCUAUCCUGCGUAACGGUAUUGCCAUUUGCCCGCCGUCUACGAUCAGUCCUGCCUUCAUCUGGAUCCCCAGAGAUUCGUCUCUCCGAUCCAACCCCACGCAGUACAGUGGUGCACUCUAGGUUUUGCAUCACUUGCUCGCGUGAGAGCGAGGAUUUUUUGAGAGAGAAAUGUCAAAGGCUGACCUGGUCUCGUUGCUUCGGUCAACUUGCCAGGCAGGUGAGCGUGUGUGUAGCGUGUAUGGUGAUCUGGACCAAGUACGAUGUCUGGUUGUUAAUUGAAUUUGCAUUUUUUUAAAAAUUUUAUGAAAAAUUACGUAGUGGGGAUGUAAUUGUAAAUUAACGAUGAAGGGUAAUCGGUUGAAAUUUUCGCUAAAUCGGGUUGUUGUAAUAUUUGAAAAUCGUACUCGAAGUUGCGGAGUUGGUAUUUGAUGGGGCUUUGAAUAAUGAUUUUUUUCAAACGAAGGGUUAUUAGUUGGAUUUUUCGAUACGAUUCGAUACGAGCUGCAAUAUUUUGAGAAUUUCGCCGCGUUGAAAAUGUCGAAAUUUCGUAAUUCGAGUAAAUUCGCGAUGAUACGAGCAGGAAUGAUUCAUUUUCGAGGGUUACAAACGUGUAUUUUUGGGGAAAAAAUUGGCGUAGAGUUUUUACAGUUACCUAUUUCGAAUGUUUGUACAACAUUUUCCCACCUGUCCCUCUUGUUUUUAUUAGCCAGUUAAUUUUUAUUUGAAUUUGGUGUACUUCUUUUUGUUCGCGAAUACCAAAAUGUUAAAUCAUGUGCAAAAAAAACGGAAUAAUCGAAAUUUUAAUGACCCCCCCCUUCCUCCCCUCCGAGCCCUACCUACCUUUCAUUAGAUCGUAAUUUUUCGGUACCGAAUUUGUUUUAUUAUCGUUGAAUCUAUUAUUAUUAUAAAUGUGUGUUUGUACUUGAAAAUUAGUUUGUAAUCACUGUGUUAUUUUAAUCAUUAUUGAUUUGGUGCGCACCUAUAUUGUAUGUAUUGUAUUAUCAAUUUAUGCGAUGUAAUAUUUUGUACUGAUCGAUCAAGGUUUUUCACGUCGAGCGGCCGGCGUGUUUUUUAGCCCAGAUCGAUCAUAUCUGUGUAGAAUUAGUGUACAAUUUUUUUCUUCUUCGCCGCUGAUUUGAUUUGAUUUCUGGUUG